rnacentral:lncRNA from 1 species
CAUCUUUCUUUUCUUCAUCUAUUUCUUCUCUUUUAUUUCCAGCUUCAUUUAAUGCAUGCUUAUUCUCUAAUUUCUUUUAUUAUUCCAAAUUUGUUUAAAAAAUUCUAAAAUUCAGUUCUAUAUAAAAUAUAGGCUCAUCACUAGUAAGAUAGAUUGAGAUUUUUCUAAUUUGUUUUUGCAUCAGUUUUGGUAUUAGAACAAAAUUGGUCCAAAAAUAAUUCCAAAAUUGUUCCUUAAAUUUUACGAUCAUGAAUUCUACUCUUAUUUCUU